rnacentral:rRNA from 1 species
UACGGGGGGGGCAAGCGUUGCUCGGAAUCACUGGGCGUAAAGGGCUCGUAGGUGGCCACCUAAGUCAGACGUGAAAUCCCUCGGCUUAACCGGGGAACUGCGUCUGAUACUGGAUGGCUUGAGUUCGGGAGAGGGAUGCGGAAUUCCAGGUGUAGCGGUGAAAUGCGUAGAUAUCUGGAGGAACACCGGUGGCGAAGGCGGCAUCCUGGACCGACACUGACACUGAGGAGCGAAAGCCAGGGGAGCAAACGGG